UCCUCGGUGGCGCAAUUGGCUAGCGCGUCUGACUGUUAAUAUGAAAAGUCCUUGAUUAUUAACUUGUCAUCAGGAGGUUGAAAGUUCGAGCCUUUCCCGGGGAG